CCAAAAAUUAACACUCUUGAAAAAACACUCUUUAGCGUAAAAGAAAAACCCAAACUUAAAAACCCUAUUGAACCCAUAGCCAACGCAUCAAUUGCUUUUCUUCUCUCUCCAUCCAGUCUCUGUCAACAAAGCUUCCACCUUUGCCGGUCUUCUUUGUUUACCAGUGGGGUCUGUUGUUUAAGAAAAUAUGUGGGAGAGCUGUAAGACGCCAAAGUAUGCAGGCAAGGAAAGCUUAGUGGGCUUAGAAGGGAAUUGUGAGGCAGAGCUGUAAGACGCCAAAGUAUAACUACCCUAAAGUUCUUGCAGUCCAUUGUAAUUAGUCAAGUCACAGGGUAGCACAAGAAUAUUUGGAAUGGUGGAAGGCACUUGGAAUUAAGAUGGAAGGGAACAAUUGCAGAAUUGGAAAGACAAUAUAACAAGGAUAGACUCAAAUAAUCAAAGAAGGUGGGAUGAUAGUGUUUUGUCAAAGGAAAAGGCAGAUGCAUUGUUUAUGAGUAGAAGUCAGCAGAUACGGAUUGAAAAUAGUAAAUGGAAGAUGGAGGCUGGACCAAUGGGAAGAAGAGAACUUGAAUAUUUGGACUCGGCUUUGGCUUCAAAUCUAAGACAAAAAGAUGACAAUAGAAGAAAGCAACUUAAGCUAAGAAAUGUUAAGGGACAGAGUAAGUUGGAAGGAUUGGAUUCUCCAACAUUUGUUCCCAGAGGAUCAAUUCAUCAUAGAAAAGGCAAUGCUCAUUGGGAGACCAUAAUUCUUUGUCAAGCUCGCCUGUUGUUCCAACUUAAAUGAAUGCAACUGAAAGCUAUUCACCAUAUAAGAAUAAACUGUUUCUCAUAUCCUCUAUUACUACUGAAGUGCCAAGUGGGGGUUGGAUUGGCAAGACUAAUGGUUUCUAGCAAAGAUCUCCAAGCUCGAAAGGCCUUCUGGGUCCUAUAAAAUCCAGUCAGAAUGUAAAGGAUCUCAGCUUUAACUUAGAGUGCUCAUUGCAGAUUUUGGAUAGACAUGGCUUCAGAUGAUUUCAAAAGUUUGGUGCAAGAAGAGAACUUGGUCAGUGUGUCAGGUUGGAGUGGAGAACAUAGCCUAUAAUUUAAUCUAGUUUGAAUAGUUAAACAACGGGAUGCAUUUUUUGUCUCAUCAUCAAAUGAGUAGCUCACUAUAAUCUUGCAUUGUAAUUUAAUCUAGUUGGAACUCUACUCUACUACUCCUCCAUCCAAACUAGCCAUUAAAAUGUAUUGAGGUUUGGGUUGUAUGAGAGGUACUUUUUAGAAUGUUUGAUUCCAAUGAAUAAGUGUGUAA